UACGGAGGGGGCUAGCGUUGUUCGGAAUUACUGGGCGUAAAGGGCUCGUAGGCGGCCAACUAAGUCCGACGUGAAAUCCCAAGGCUUAACCUUGGAACUGCGUCGGAUACUGGAUGGCUUGAAUUCGGGAGAGGGAUGCAGAAUUCCAGGUGUAGCGGUGAAAUGCGUAGAUAUCUGGAGGAAUACCGGUGGCGAAGGCGGCAUCCUGGACCGACAUUGACGCUGAUGAGCGAAAGCUAGGGGAGCAAACGGG
rnacentral:rRNA from 1 species